UUAACUAAUUUUUUUUUUUUUUUUUUUUUUUUUCUUUUCAUCCGCCUCAGGUCACUCUGGAAAGUUAAGUGACUUGACUAAGUUUCUAUAAGUAGCUUGAUAGCAGAGUUGGGACUGGAAUCCUCAUCAAGCAGCCUGUAGCCCAACAUUCUGUACUUGCCACAUAUUGAUCUUUUGUGACCCUUAAGUUCUGCCCAAAGCAGGAGUCUCCUUUGGUGUGGGCAAAAUACUGGUAAGGAACUUAGCUUACCACUCCAUUCAAUGGAAGUCCAGGGAUGUAGGGGAAUAGUUUAGGCCUGUGAUUGAUCCUUAGUAAACUCUGAGCAGGUUUGCAGAAGGCAUGUUGAAGGGGAGGAGCUCUCAUAAGACUUUUCACCCUCAGAGAGCAGGACACUUGUAGUUUGAGGGUCACAGAUGCUGCUCUAGUGGUCAGUGAGGGCAGAGCAAAGUUGCAGCCUAUCAGUCUUCAUCAUUGAUUAAACACAUGCCAGCUUGGGGAUUUGAGGCCUGCAGUAAGGCCAUCCAGCCCCUUCCAGCUGUUCUGAGGUCUGAAUGGUCCUGGUAAACCUGGCCUAUUAUGCCCUUCAGAUCUGAGAAGCAAAUUUCAGGGGAAUGACACUGAGAAAUAGAUCAAGAAAACUGAAGGUCUUUACAGAGCCUGAUUGAACUAUAGGCUCAAGCCCCUAGGAUGAUUCACUCCUGUGUCCAGAUGUUCCUUCUGGAUUUCUGCCCAGCACGCCUCCACUGUAGCUGUUUGAUGGCUGCUGGCAGUUGCUGUUGAGAGCCACAGCCAAAGGGGCCCCAGCAAACUUUCAGACUGCUAGCUGAUGAUUGGCUCACAGCAACCCAGCAACAUCUAGCUGAUUGGCUCCUCUGCGGUGAUGCUCAUUGGGCUGUUUCCCCGCCCUUUCAGACUGCCAGCUGAUGAUUGGCUCACAGUGGCCCCAGCAACAUCUAGUUGAUUGGCUCCUCUGCGGUGAUGCUCAUUGGGCUGUUUCCCUGCCCGUUCAGACCACGGAGCUGCUCAUUGGGGGACUUUUUUGGCUGUGCCCACGCGACCCAGCCAAUCGGCCUCAAGAGCAGGAGGAUUGUGGGAGGUGGAAAGGCUUGUGGUUGAGAGAGAGGCUUGUGGGAAGCCGGUGGUGGCAGUUGGGCUCUGAGGGUUUUUCCUGAGGAGCGGUUUUGUUUGGUGUGAGUGGUUCUAAAAAUAAAGUUCGUUUCUUUUGACAAGUGGCUCCU
rnacentral:lncRNA from 1 species